rnacentral:rRNA from 1 species
CCUACGGGAGGCAGCAGUGGGGAAUUUUGGACAAUGGGCGAAAGCCUGAUCCAGCCAUUCCGCGUGCAGGAUGAAGGCCCCCGGGUUGUAAACUGCUUUUGUACAGAACGAAAAGGUUUCUAUUAAUACUAGGAGCUCAUGACGGUACUGUAAGAAUAAGCACCGGCUAACUACGUGCCAGCAGCCGCGGUAAUACGUAGGGUGCAAGCGUUAAUCGGAAUUACUGGGCGUAAAGCGUGCGCAGGCGGUUAUAUAAGUCAGAUGUGAAAUCCCCGGGCUCAACCUGGGAACUGCAUUUGAGACUGUAUAGCUAGAGUACGGUAGAGGGGGAUGGAAUUCCGCGUGUAGCAGUGAAAUGCGUAGAUAUGCGGAGGAACACCGAUGGCGAAGGCAAUCCCCUGGACCUGUACUGACGCUCAUGCACGAAAGCGUGGGGAGCAAACAGGAUUAGAUACCCUGGUAGUCCACGCCCUAAACGAUGUCAACUGGUUGUUGGGUCUUAACUGACUCAGUAACGAAGCUAAUGNGUGAGUGACGCGNGGNGGUAACGGUCGCGAGUUAGUAAGUUAGAAUAGAGUUGNGNGNGAGAGNGCGAGGCGACGACGAGGGAGAGG